GAUAAGAAUGUGGAAAAAGGAUGAACUUUGGACCUAGAAGUUUUGUUUUCCAGCUUUAGCUCUGUUAUUUUAGUGACUUGAACCUCAGAGAAAACUUUUACAGAUAAAAGAUUGAGGUUUCCUGAGCAUGUCGCACCAUGAGGGAUUUUGGUGGUGGGAGGCCUAGGCCUGAGACAAAGGCAUAAAGUUAGGGAGGGAACAACAGAAUGGAAAGGAAAGGAGGUUUUCAAGAAGUAAUGUUAAUAAACUGCGAACAGGACUCCACCGAUUAAAUUAGGUCACGGGCACAUUCCAAGCCUCAGACUCAGGACUGCGGGCAUAUCAUGUUUGAUGCAGGAAGGUGCGUGUAAGGAUGGACAGCAGAGGGAGCGCUUGGUUCUGAUACUGGCCGUCGGAUUGAGCCCUGUGGUUCAGGGCCAUAGCUGAAGGAUGAACUUUGGGCUGAAGCGCAGCACCUGUGAAGCAGGUACAGAGAGCAGUGAAGGUGGGUAGUAUUUUUGAGAUUAUUUGCUUCAGCUUCCCCACUGCAGUUUCACAGAAGGGGAGACUGAGCCCCAA
rnacentral:lncRNA from 1 species